rnacentral:rRNA from 1 species
UACGUAGGUGGCAAGCGUUGUCCGGAAUUAUUGGGCGUAAAGCGCGCGCAGGCGGUCCUUUAAGUCUGAUGUGAAAGCCCACGGCUCAACCGUGGAGGGUCAUUGGAAACUGGGGGACUUGAGUGCAGAAGAGGAAAGCGGAAUUCCACGUGUAGCGGUGAAAUGCGUAGAGAUGUGGAGGAACACCAGUGGCGAAGGCGGCUCUCUGGACCGAUACUGACGCUGAGGCGCGAAAGCGUGGGGAGCAAACAGG